GAGAGGAGGCCCCAAAUGCUGCGCAGCAGCAUUGCUGUAAAGGUGCCGACGACAUGCCGCCGAAGCGCAGCUGAGGGGGCGAUACGACAG
rnacentral:sRNA from 1 species